rnacentral:rRNA from 1 species
CUACGGGAGGCUGCAGUGGGGAAUAUUGGACAAUGGGCGAAAGCCUGAUCCAGCCAUGCCGCGUGUGUGAAGAAGGCCUUCGGGUUGUAAAGCACUUUCAGUGGGGAAGAAAGCCUUGGGGCUAAUACCCUCGAGGAAGGACAUCACCCACAGAAGAAGCACCGGCUAACUCCGUGCCAGCAGCCGCGGUAAUACGGAGGGUGCGAGCGUUAAUCGGAAUUACUGGGCGUAAAGCGCGCGUAGGCGGUCUGAUAAGCCGGUUGUGAAAGCCCCGGGCUCAACCUGGGAACGGCAUCCGGAACUGUCAGGCUAGAGUGCAGGAGAGGAAGGUAGAAUUCCCGGUGUAGCAGUGAAAUGCGUAGAGAUCGGGAGGAAUACCAGUGGCGAAGGCGGCCUUCUGGACUGACACUGACGCUGAGGUGCGAAAGCGUGGGUAGCAAACAGGAUUAGAUACCCCUGUAGUC